GAUUAGCCGCGUUAGAUUAGGUAGUUGGUGGGUAUGCUACCAGCCUACGAUCUAUAGCUGGUUUUAGAGGAUGAUCAGCAACACUGGGACUGAGACACGGCCCAGACUCUACGGGAGGCAGCAGUGGGGAAUCUUGGACAAUGGGGGCAACCCUGAUCCAGCCAUGCCGCGUGAGUGAUGAAGGCCUUAGGGUCGUAAAGCUCUUUCGCCUGUGAAGAUAAUGACGGUAGCAGGUAAAGAAACCCCGGCUAACUCCGUGCCAGCAGCCGCGGUAAUACGGAGGGGGUUAGCGUUGUUCGGAAUUACUGGGCGUAAAGCGCACGUAGGCGGAUCGGAAAGUUGGGGGUGAAAUCCCGGGGCUCAACCCCGGAACUGCCUCCAAAACUAUCGGUCUAGAGUUCGAGAGAGGUGAGUGGAAUUCCGAGUGUAGAGGUGAAAUUCGUAGAUAUUCGGAGGAACACCAGUGGCGAAGGCGGCUCACUGGCUCGAUACUGACGCUGAGGUGCGAAAGUGUGGGGAGCAAACAGGAUUAGAUACCCUGGUAGUCCACACCGUAAACGAUGAAUGCCAGUCGUCGGGUAGCAUGCUAUUCGGUGACACACCUAACGGAUUAAGCAUUGCCACCUAGGGAGU
rnacentral:rRNA from 1 species